rnacentral:rRNA from 1 species
UACGAGGGGGGCGAGCGUUGUUCGGAAUUAUUGGGCGUAAAGGGUGCGUAGGCGGUUUGGUAAGUCUUAUGUGAAAUCUACAGGCUCAACUUGUAGUCUGCAUGAGAAACUGCCGGGCUUGAGUAUGGGAGAGGUGAGUGGAAUUCCCAGUGUAGAGGUGAAAUUCGUAGAUAUUGGGAAGAACACCGGUGGUGUAGACGGCUUUCUGGACCGUAACUGACGCUGAGACACGAAAGCGUGGGUAGCAAACAGG